AGCAGUCGCCACGGUAAUACGAAGGGUGCAAGCGUUACUCGGAAUUACUGGGCGUAAAGCGUGCGUAGGUGGUGGUUUAAGUCCGCUGUGAAAGCCCUGGGCUCAACCUGGGAAUUGCAGUGGAUACUGGGUCACUAGAGUGUGGUAGAGGAUAGUGGAAUUUCCGGUGUAGCAGUGAAAUGCGUAGAGAUCGGAAGGAACAUCUGUGGCGAAGGCGACUAUCUGGGCCAACACUGACACUGAGGCACGAAAGCGUGGGGAGCAAACAGGAUUAGAUACCCCGGUAGUCCCUGUCUCUUAUAC
rnacentral:rRNA from 1 species